UACGGAAGGCAGCAGUGGGGAAUAUUGCACAAUGGGCGCAAGCCUGAUGCAGCCAUGCCGCGUGUAUGAAGAAGGCCUUCGGGUUGUAAAGUACUUUCAGUCGUGAGGAAGGUGUUAAGGUUAAUAACCUUGCAAUUGACGUUAGCGACAGAAGAAGCACCGGCUAACUCCGUGCCAGCAGCCGCGGUAAUACGGAGGGUGCGAGCGUUAAUCGGAAUUACUGGGCGUAAAGGGCACGCAGGCGGUUAAUUAAGUUGGAUGUGAAAUCCCCGGGCUUAACCUGGGAAUGGCAUUCAAGACUGGUUAGCUAGAGUCUUGUAGAGGGGGUAGAAUUCCAUGUGUAGCGGUGAAAUGCGUAGAGAUGUGGAGGAAUGCCGGUGGCGAAGGCGGCCCCUGGACAAAGACUGACGCUCAUGUGCGAAAGCGUGGGGAGCAAACAGGGAUUAGAUACC
rnacentral:rRNA from 1 species